CCUACGGGUGGCAGCAGUGGGGAAUAUUGGGCAAUGGGCGCAAGCCUGACCCAGCAACGCCGCGUGAAGGAAGAAGGCUUUCGGGUUGUAAACUUCUUUUAAGAGGGAAGAGCAGAAGACGGUACCUCUUGAAUAAGCCAUGGCUAAAUACGUGCCAGCAGCAGCGGUAAUACCUAGGUGGCAAGCGUUGUCCGGAUUUACUGGGUGUAAAGGGCGUGUAGGCGGGCUGACAAGUCAGAUGUGAAAUUUCGGGGCUCAACCCCGGACCUGCAUUUGAAACUGUUGGUCUUGAGUAUCGGAGAUGCGGGCGGAAUUCCUAGUGUAGCGGUGAAAUGCGUAGAUAUUAGGAGGAACACCAGUGGCGAAGGCGGCCUGCUGGACGACAACUGACGGUGAGGCGCGAAAGCGUGGGGAGCAAACAGGAUUAGAUACCCCAGUAGUC
rnacentral:rRNA from 1 species